AGUUAUCAUUUCUAUUGGUUGUUUGGUUAAAUAAUUAAAUAGGCUGAUCCAAAACCAAAGGCUUGAUCAGUUUUUUUUCUGUUAAUUUUUUUUUAUGUGUGGUUAUCUAUUUCACAUGGUGCAUCUCAAGACAAUGGAAGCAGUUCAGAUGAUGAUGAGAAUGAACAGUACCCUAUAAAACUCAGUCCAGGUACAAUUGCUGGUAUUAUGAGUGUUGUAAUAGUGAUGGCUGCUAUAAUUGCAGUAAUAAUUUUUCAAAGGAAAAUCUUGCAAGUGUGUUUUGCUUAAGAGGAGGAAACAGCAGAAGAUAAAUGUUGUUCAAAAAGCAGAGAAAUUAUGGAAAUCACCAAUAUGAAGAGACACAAAACAAACAAGCAAACACAGCCUUUCCUCUUUAUUCUACAGUAAACCUACCAGCAGGACAGCUGCAUUACACCCGCAUCAAUAUCAACAACUACAGUUCCACUGAAAAUACAAAUGGAUCUUCCAUCUCGAAUGGGAGUCUUAAACGUGCAGCACAAACUUCAACGGAAACAGCUCUCUACUCUACCAUUGCAAAGCUUGGAGAAUAGUGGAAUCGAUUAGCAGGGCUCUCCCAAGCAUAAGUAACAGGUUUAAUGAUAAGCAGUGCUUUUUUACAUUAUUAUAUAUUUGAUAAUGUUGGAAUCAUUACUUAUAGAAAUAACCAAAAGUUUUUUUUAUUGGUUUUGGGAUCCAUCUUGAGAGAAAGAAAGAGCAGUGUAAACUCAUCAGAGAAACCAAAGCCUAAGGGGAACAGUUAGUGAUAGACUUAUACUUUCUAUAGAGAUGGAAAACCUUCCAGAACUCCCUAAAGCACAAAGCAACCAAUUUGGAAAGAUUUUUUCUAGUUUUUUUUUCCAGAAAAUUAGAUUUAUGAGUUUUACCCUUAGCCUUUGGAUAGAUCUUGAAAUAGCACAUAUUCCUCCUGUGCCUGAUUUGAGGACUAAUUAUUCAAUAAUUACAUUUUACAUUUUGUGUCCUAAACCAUUUUAACCUGUUUCAGGUAAAUUGUAUUUGCAGCACUUCAGUAUGUGCUUGAUAUUCUGUCCAACAAUGUUAUCUUUUUUUUGUGCACAUUUUACAUUUAUAUAUAUUUUUUAUGUAAACUAAUUUAUUUAUGGUUUCUCUUUUGCACAUUGCUGUUACAGGUUUUUAGAACCAAACACUAUAAACCAAAUGACACCUUUAUUUUAAACACAUGGCAUAUUUAUUUUUUUAUUAGUCUUUUUAACGCUGAAUAAUAUACCGUAUAGCAAGAGUAUUUAACUAAACUCACUGAGGUCCAGUUAUAAUUUCCUCCUGAUAACAGAUCCAAAUGGAACUCCAGUUUAAGUCUUUUAUACUCGAGCCAUCUCGUAUGUUUGCAUUUUCACGUUAACAAAGUACACUAUUUAAUAAGCAUCUAGCUAUUUUACCAUCAAUAAAAGUAAUCAUUUCAAACACACAAACAUCUGGGCAUUAUCAGCAACAUCUGCAGCCUCAUGGAUGGACAACAAUAAGCAUGGUACACUUUUAAUAGCAGCACCAAGCUGUACCAGUAAUGACCUCUUAAUAUUUCUGUUUUUCUGUUUGCUGCUCAAGCUGACUUUUGUAGGGUGAUUUCUUUGUUUUUU